rnacentral:rRNA from 1 species
AUUGAACGCUGGCGGCAUGCUUUACACAUGCAAGUCGAACGGUAACAGGCCUUCGGGUGCUGACGAGUGGCGAACGGGUGAGUAAUGCAUCGGAACGUACCCAGAGGUGGGGGAUAACGCAGCGAAAGCUGUGCUAAUACCGCAUGUGAUCUGAGGAUGAAAGCGGGGGACCGAGCAGCAAUGUUUGGCCUCGCGCCUUUGGAGCGGCCGAUGUCGGAUUAGCUAGUUGGUGGGGUAAAGGCCUACCAAGGCGACGAUCCGUAGCUGGUCUGAGAGGACGACCAGCCACACUGGGACUGAGACACGGCCCAGACUCCUACGGGAGGCAGCAGUGGGGAAUUUUGGACAAUGGGCGCAAGCCUGAUCCAGCAAUGCCGCGUGCGGGAAGCAGGCCUUCGGGUUGUAAACCGCUUUUGGCAGGAACGAAACGGUGUCCGCUAAUACCGGGCGCUAAUGACGGUACCUGCAGAAUAAGCACCGGCUAACUACGU